rnacentral:rRNA from 1 species
AUGGUCUCCAUUAACCCGGAGUCAAAAUCAAGGGCUGUGAACAGGGAGGUACUCAGUGAGCUAAUCAAGUUGCACGGCAAGACAUCCCUUGGGGGCAAAUUGCCUGCCUACGAUGGAAGAAAGAGUCUUUACACUGCAGGCUCACUCCCUUUUGAGUCUGAGGAGUUUUCUGUUACACUGGUUGAUCCCGAAAAGAAAGACAAAGAAAAGGCUGAAAGGGAGUACAAGAUCACCAUUCGGAUUGCUGGGAGGACAGACCUGUACCACCUCCAGCAGUUCCUCAAAGGAAGACAGAGGGAUAUGCCUCAAGAAACCAUCCAAGUUCUUGAUGUUGUCCUCAGGGAGUCACCAUCCUGGAACUAUGUCACAGUGUCCAGAUCCUUCUUCUCCACCACCUUUGGUCACAGAGGAGACAUUGGUGAAGGAUUAGAGUGCUGGAGAGGUUACUACCAGAGCUUACGUCCAACCCAGAUGGGGCUGUCACUCAAUAUAGACAUAUCUGCGACAUCCUUCUUCAAGCCUGUGACAGUGGUCCAGUUUGUGCUAGAGUUCCUCAACUUACGUGAUGCCUCGCGGCCUCUGACAGACAGGGACCGUGUUAAGAUAAAGAAAGCACUCCGUGGGGUGCGUGUCGAAACAAACCACCAGGAAGACCAAAUCCGAAGAUACAAGAUAACAGGGAUUACUCCUGUUCCCAUGAGCCAGCUCAUAUUUCCUAUUGAUGAGAGAGGAACAAGAAUGUCAGUUGUUCAGUACUUCAUGCAAAGAUACAACUACAAUCUGCAGUAUACUUCUUGGCCCUGCUUGCAGUCCGGAAGUGACGCUCGGCCUGUGUAUCUGCCUAUGGAGGCGUGCAAGAUUGUUGAAGGGCAAAGGUACUCUAAGAAACUGAAUGACAAGCAGGUCACCAACAUACUUAGAGCUACCUGUCAACGUCCCCAGCAGAGGGAGCAAAGCAUUCGUGAGAUGGUUCUGCACAACAAGUAUGCUGAGGACAAGUUUGCUCAGGAGUUCGGGAUCAAUGUCUGCAGUGACCUGGUCUCUGUUCCAGCCCGUGUGCUGCCUCCCCCCAUGUUGAGAUUUCAUGAUUCUGGAAAGGAGAAAACUUGUGCGCCAAGUGUUGGACAGUGGAACAUGAUUAACAAGAAAAUGAUCAAUGGAGGAAUCAUAGACAACUGGGCCUGUGUGAGUUUUUCACGCAUGCGUCCUGAGGAGGUACACAGGUUCUGUUGUGAUCUGAUUCAGAUGUGCAAUAUGACUGGAAUGGUUGGGCGGCCACCUUCCAUUGAGAAGGCCUUUACUAGAUUUGGUGUUCCGUCUGUGAAAAAUAUCCCAACAAUCAUCUUUGGUGCUGAUGUUACACACCCCCCACCUGGAGAGGACUCUGCAUCAUCAAUUGCUGCGGUGGUGGCAUCAAUGGACUGGCCAGAGAUCACCAAGUACAGUGGUCUUGUCUCUGCUCAACCACACAGGCAGGAGAUAAUCGAAGACCUCUUCAGUGUCACCAAAGUUCCGCAGAGGGGUAAUGUCAAUGGUGGCAUGAUCAGGGAGUUACUGAUUGCCUUCCGCAGGAAGACAGGCCGGAGGCCUGAGAGGAUACUCUUCUUCAGGGAUGGUGUAAGUGAAGGCCAAUUCAGCCAUGUUCUGCUUCAUGAAAUGGACGCAAUCAGGAAGGCCUGUGCCUCAUUGGAGGAGGGUUAUCAACCUGAGGUCAAUUUUGUUCCUGUUGAGAAGAAACAUUACACCAGGCUACUCUCUGAGGAUCAUGGGAGGCAUGAUAUGACUGACAAAAGUGGAAACAAACUUCCUGGUCUUGUCACGGCUCAUGAAAAUAAUGGGCAGCACAGACCCAUCAAUAUAUUUAUUGACUGUCCAGCCGGUAGAUUAGUAGUACAGGUCCCUUUAAGCAGUACGUGCUAUUCACUGAAGACUGCUAUUGAAAAGAAACUGAAUGUUUCAAUCAAUAGUUGUUCAUUGUAUCUUGUAAGAAAGCCUAUUAACUAUGGAAAGACCCUAUCUUACUAUGGCUUACGGGAUGAGUCUGUGCUUAGGAUGGAGGCAAAAUUGCUAGGCGGUGCUUCUAUUGGGGUUCCUCAAACGGUUGCUCAAACUUUCUCAGACCAAAACUUAAAAGAAUACAGUGCUGAUAGCACCAAGUUCUUUCGAAAUGAGCUUGUUCGAGAUAAAGAUUGGCCUGGGAGAAAGAAACUUAUUAGAGUAUUCAACAAGAAGGGCAAUAUUCUUGGUCUUAGUGUAUUAGAUCAACUGAAGAAAGCAAUUAAAGAAAAAAAAUCAUGGGAUGGUCAACUAAAAAAGAAAGAUUUUAGGGUAGUUGAUGGGCGGGCCGUGAUAAUUAAAAAGCCUAUUUAUAAUAUUGAUGCCGUGAAUUUUCCCAAGGAUUGCAAAAAGAUACGGAAAAUUCUAAAGAAAAUCUUUCAAACAGAAAUCAGUGGGGCCGACGCACCUUUUCUGCAGUGGAAUCCUUUCCUCAGAGACUUGCUAGAAGUGUUAGAAUUGGCAACAUUCAGCGACCUUUACUGGCUAGUACCAUUUAUCAAGACGAAUUUUGCGUUUAAGACGCCAAUCCAACGCGAAAAUGCGUCUUAUAACAUUGUAAGAUAUUAUGAAGGUUUGAACUGGCAAGACAAGGCGAAUUUCGAAGCAAUUGUUGACGGGGUCACUGUUCCGCCUGACUGGCGGUCAUGCAAAGUGCAAACACAUUACUUCUUUAGAAAAACAAUACAAUAUGCUUUCCAGAAGUUUGGGUGCACGUACUCUUUGUCUUCUUUCGGAUGCUUUAAAUUUCAAAGAAAUCAUGCGACUCAUGCGAAAGUGUCUCCAUUUCACUUGAGUGACCACGAGAUUACUAUGUUCUUAAGAAGUUUUGUUGCGGAGGUUAUUCGGGGGCUCUUGAAGAAGCGUGUCCCGAUCAAGAAGGCCUUGCAGUAA